rnacentral:rRNA from 1 species
UAGGGAAUCUUCGGCAAUGGGGGGAACCCUGACCGAGCAACGCCGCGUGAGUGAAGAAGGUUUUCGGAUCGUAAAGCUCUGUUGUUAAGGAAGAACGAGUGUGAGAAUGGAAAGUUCAUACUGUGACGGUACUUAACCAGAAAGGGACGGCUAAAUACGUGCCAGCAGCCGCGGUAAUACGUAGGUCCCGAGCGUUGUCCGGAUUUAUUGGGCGUAAAGCGAGCGCAGGCGGUUAGAUAAGUCUGAAGUUAAAGGCAGUGGCUCAACCAUUGUAGGCUUUGGAAACUGUUUAACUUGAGUGCAGAAGGGGAGAGUGGAAUUCCAUGUGUAGCGGUGAAAUGUGUAGAUAUCGGGAAGAACACCAAUGGCGAAGGCAGGUCUCUGGGCUGUUACUGACGCUGAGAAGCGAAAGCGUGGGGAGCGAACAGG